AACGAACGCUGGCGGCAGGCUUAACACAUGCAAGUCGAGCGCCCCGCAAGGGGAGCGGCAGACGGGUGAGUAACGCGUGGGAAUCUACCCAUCUCUACGGAAUAACGCAUGGAAACGUGUGCUAAUACCGUAUACGUCCUUCGGGAGAAAGAUUUAUCGGAGAUGGAUGAGCCCGCGUUGGAUUAGCUAGUUGGUGGGGUAAAGGCCUACCAAGGCGACGAUCCAUAGCUGGUCUGAGAGGAUGAUCAGCCACACUGGGACUGAGAAACGGCCCAGACUCCUACGGGAGGCAGCAGUGGGGAAUAUUGGAAAAUGGGCGCAAGCCUGAUCCAGCCAUGCCGCGUGAGUGAUGAAGGCCCUAGGGUUGUAAAGCUCUUUCACCGGUGAAGAUAAUGACGGUAACCGGAGAAGAAGCCCCGGCUAACUUCGUGCCAGCCGCCGCCGUAAUAC
rnacentral:rRNA from 1 species